GGCGGCAUGCCUUACACAUGCAAGUCGAACGGCAGCGCGGGGCAACCUGGCGGCGAGUGGCGAACGGGUGAGUAAUAUAUCGGAACGUACCCUGGAGUGGGGGAUAACGUAGCGAAAGUUACGCUAAUACCGCAUACGAUCUAAGGAUGAAAGUGGGGGAUCGCAAGAACCUCAUGCUCCUGGAGCGGCCGAUAUCUGAUUAGCUAGUUGGUGGGGUAAAGGCCUACCAAGGCAUCGAUCAGUAGCUGGUCUGAGAGGACGACCAGCCACACUGGAACUGAGACACGGUCCAGACUCCUACGGGAGGCAGCAGUGGGGAAUUUUGGACAAUGGGCGAAAGCCUGAUCCAGCAAUGCCGCGUGAGUGAAGAAGGCCUUCGGGUUGUAAAGCUCUUUUGUCAGGGAAGAAACGGUGUGGGCUAAUAUCCUGCACUAAUGACGGUACCUGAAGAAUAAGCACCGGCUAACUACGUGCCAGCAGCCGCGGUAAUACGUAGGGUGCAAGCGUUAAUCGGAAUUACUGGGCGUAAAGCGUGCGCAGGCGGUUUUGUAAGUCUGUCGUGAAAUCCCCGGGCUCAACCUGGGAAUUGCGAUGGAGACUGCAAGGCUAGAAUCUGGCAGA
rnacentral:rRNA from 1 species